rnacentral:piRNA from 1 species
UGACUACUUACUAAGUCAGGACCAUGGAGG